rnacentral:lncRNA from 1 species
UAGAAAUUAUAGGGGGACAUCAGAAUUGCUUCUUGGGCUUUUCUCUCAUGGCCAAAUCUAAGUCCCCCUCUAUAAGUUGGCAAUUCCAUAAGAUGAAGUUGAUGGAUUGAAUUGGGAUUUAUAUAUGUAGUAGCAAAUGAAAACAUUGCAUGUAAAAGGCGCUUUCAAAGGAAGAUAGUGAGGCUUGUUAUAGGACAAGAUCUCCCACCCCCACCCCCU